rnacentral:rRNA from 1 species
UGCAAGUCGAGCGGGGAUGUUCGGAGUGCUUGCACACUGAACAUUCCAGCGGCGGACGGGUGAGUAACGCGUGAACAAUCUGUCCCAUACAGGGGGAUAACAGAUGGAAACAUCUGCUAAUACCGCAUAAGACCACGAUGCCACAUGGCGACGAGGUAAAAGGAGGAAUCCGGUAUGGGGUGAGUUCGCGUCCGAUUAGCUAGUUGGCGAGGUAACGGCCCACCAAGGCGACGAUCGGUAGCCGACCUGAGAGGGUGAUCGGCCACACUGGAACUGAGAGACGGUCCAGACUCCUACGGGAGGCAGCAGUGGGGAAUAUUGGGCAAUGGGCGAAAGCCUGACCCAGCAACGCCGCGUGAGGGAAGAAGGUUUUCGGAUUGUAAACCUCUGU